GCCUGCCCGGUUGUACUUGACUCCUUCUGCGCCACCCGCUCUGUUUUAAUUAUCAGGAAUGCUCCAGGAAGUCGCCUGAAUGCUGCAACAGCGUGGUUCUGUCACGUUCUUAGAACAACCCUGGGCGGCGGGUGGCGACUCCCUCUUGGGGACGAAGAAGCUGGAGGUUGGAUCCCUCGGCCAACAAUUGAAUGCACGUCCCCCGUCGCCGCCAGGCACCAAAGCACGUGACCGAUGAGCUAUGUAAAGAGAGAGAGAGACAGAGGGAGAGGAACAGAGAGAGAGGGAGACACUGAAUCCAAAGCGGGCUCCAGGCUCCGAGCUGUCAGCACAGAGCCCGACGCGGGGCUCGAACUCAUGGACGGUGAGCUCAUGACCUGAGCCGAAGUCGGACGCUCAACCGACGGAGCCCCCCAGGCACCCCAGAAAUAGACAUACUUCUGAAAGUACCGUUUUUAAAACUAACAGAAGGACCCUGAUGGUCUGCAAAGUAGUUGAAUCCUACCUACGUUAUCAUCUCACGAAGAAAACUCAGGUUUUGGACAAAGCUUCUGCUCGAGGACUGGCCAGGACCUCCCGGGAGAUCCCAGCUGCCCUCUGUGCCCAGGAUAUGUCUUUGCAGCUCCCGACCUCCCCACCCCAGCAGCCCCCCCAGCUUGUACCAGUGUAGGAGGAAUCCCUUCCUAUUCCCCUUGGGUGCUUUCUGGGUUGCGGAGACCCAUCCACAGAGGGACGCACGCGGCUGAGGGUCCGGAGGCUGAGGUGUGGAAAGAGUACCUUCACCCCCCACAUCAUUCCGCCUCCGAGGGCAGGGCCGGCGUCUG